rnacentral:rRNA from 1 species
GACGAACGCUGGCGGCAUGCCUAACACAUGCAAGUCUAGGGGUAGCAAUACCACUGGCGCACGGGUGAGUAACACGUAGGUUAUCUGCCCCCAUCACAGACAUAACCCCGGGAAACCGGGGCUAAUAUCUGAUGAGGUCGCGAGAUCAAAGCUUCGGCGGAUGGGGAUGAGCCUGCGGCUGAUUAGCUAGUUGGUGAGGUAAUGGCUCACCAAGGCGACGAUCAGUAGCUGGUCUGAGAGGACGAACAGCCACACUGGAACUGAGACACGGUCCAGACUCCUACGGGAGGCAGCAGUGAGGAAUAUUGGUCAAUGGGAGCAAUCCUGAACCAGCAAUGCCGCGUGUGGGAUGACAGGGCUUCGCCUUGUAAACCACUGUCGGACGGGACGAAAGGAGGCCUCGGGCCUCUGGGACGGUACCGUCAAAGGAAGGGUCGGCUAACUACGUG